rnacentral:rRNA from 1 species
GAUGAACGCUAGCGGCAGGCUUAACACAUGCAAGUCGAGGGGUAGAAGUUGCUUGCAACUUUGAGACCGGCGCACGGGCGCGUAACGCAUAUGUAAUCUACCUUAUACAGAGGGAUAGCCCAGAGAAAUUUGGAUUAAUACCUCAUAGUAUAAUUGAAUGGCAUCAUUUAAUUAUUAAAGUUCCAACGGUAUAAGAUGAGCAUGCGUCCUAUUAGCUAGAUGGUAAGGUAACGGCUUACCAUGGCAACGAUAGGUAGGGGUCCUGAGAGGGAGAUCCCCCACACUGGUACUGAGACACAGACCAGACUCCUACGGGAGGCAGCAGUGAGGAAUAUUGGACAAUGGGCGCAAGCCUGAUCCAGCCAUGCCGCGUGCAGGAAGAAGCAUCUAUGGUGUGUAAACUGCUUUUGUACGGGAAGAAACACCCCUUCGUGAAGGGACUUGACGGUACCGUAAGAAUAGGGAUCGGCUAACUCCGUGCCAGCCGCCGCGGUAACAC